rnacentral:rRNA from 1 species
CUGGGACUGAGACACGGCCCAGACUCCUACGGGAGGCAGCAGUGGGGAAUAUUGCACAAUGGGCGCAAGCCUGAUGCAGCGACGCCGCGUGAGGGAUGAAGGCCUUCGGGUUGUAAACCUCUUUCAGUAGGGAAGAAGCGAAAGUGACGGUACCUGCAGAAGAAGCGCCGGCUAACUACGUGCCAGCAGCCGCGGUAAUACGUAGGGCGCAAGCGUUAUCCGGAAUUAUUGGGCGUAAAGAGCUCGUAGGCGGUUUGUCGCGUCUGCCGUGAAAGUCCGGGGCUUAACCCCGGAUCUGCGGUGGGUACGGGCAGACUUGAGUGAUGUAGGGGAGACUGGAAUUCCUGGUGUAGCGGUGAAAUGCGCAGAUAUCAGGAGGAACACCGAUGGCGAAGGCAGGUCUCUGGGCAUUAACUGACGCUGAGGAGCGAAAGCAUGGGGAGCGAACAGGAUUAGAUACCCUGGUAGUCCAUGCCGUAAACGUUGGGCACUAGGUGUGGGGGACAUUCCACGUUUUCCGCGCCGUAGCUAACGCAUUAAGUGCCCCGCCUGGGGAGUACGGCCGCAAGGCUAAAACUCAAAGGAAUUGACGGGGGCCCGCACAAGCGGCGGAGCAUGCGGAUUAAUUCGAUGCAACGCGAAGAACCUUACCAAGGCUUGACAUGAACCGGAACGGCGCAGAGAUGUGUCGGCCACUUGUGGCCGGUUUACAGGUGGUGCAUGGUUGUCGUCAGCUCGUGUCGUGAGAUGUUGGGUUAAGUCCCGCAACGAGCGCAACCCUCGUUCCAUGUUGCCAGCGGGUUAUGCCGGGGACUCAUGGGAGACUGCCGGGGUCAACUCGGAGGAAGGUGGGGACGACGUCAAAUCAUCAUGCCCCUUAUGUCUUGGGCUUCACGCAUGCUACAAUGGCCGGUACAAAGGGUUGCGAUGCUGUGAGGUGGAGCUAAUCCCAAAAAGCCGGUCUCAGUUCGGAUUGAGGUCUGCAACUCGACCUCAUGAAGUCGGAGUCGCUAGUAAUCGCAGAUCAGCAACGCUGCGGUGAAUACGUUCCCGGGCCUUGUACACACCGCCCGUCAAGUCACGAAAGUUGGUAACACCCGAAGCCGGUGGCCUAACCCGUAAGGGGGGAGCCGUCGAAG